AACGAACGCUGGCGGCAGGCCUAACACAUGCAAGUCGAGCGAGGACUUCGGUCCUAGCGGCGGACGGGUGAGUAACGCGUGGGAACGUGCCCUUUGCUUCGGAAUAGCCCUGGGAAACUGGGAGUAAUACCGGAUGAGCCCUUUGGGGGAAAGAUUUAUCGGCGAAGGAUCGGCCCGCGUUGGAUUAGGUAGUUGGUGGGGUAAUGGCCUACCAAGCCGACGAUCCAUAGCUGGUUUGAGAGGAUGAUCAGCCACACUGGGACUGAGACACGGCCCAGACUCCUACGGGAGGCAGCAGUGGGGAAUCUUAGACAAUGGGGGAAACCCUGAUCUAGCCAUGCCGCGUGAGCGAUGAAGGCCUUAGGGUUGUAAAGCUCUUUCAGCUGGGAAGAUAAUGACGGUACCAGCAGAAGAAGCCCCGGCUAACUCCGUG
rnacentral:rRNA from 1 species